GCCAGGCUGGGUGUUGUCUUGAUCAAAAUUAUUCUGUUCAGCAUUUGCUUGAGAGCCUUUAUAGAUCAGGGAAAAUAUGAUGUGGGAAUCAUGUCAAAACAGUGGACAUUAUCCUCCAUCGGAAAAAAAUGGAGGGGGUACAAGUGUGAAUUAAAAAAUGAAUACUACUCGGUUAGGGAUUCAGAUGAAGAAAGAUUGGCAAACCCACCACCUGAUGUUGAAAAUGAGCAUUGGGAAUUUUUGGUCAGGCAUUGGGGUACGCCUAUGGCGAAGGAGGUCAGCAAAAAAAAUAAAGAACGUCGUGGGAAGCAGACAAUGAUGCAUAUUACAGGGACAAAAAGCUUUGCAUGUGUUUCU